UUUUUUUUUUAAUCCGGACAGUUGGAGAAAUACAAGAAAUGUUUGGAACAGAACCAGAAUAUUCAGCUUUCUCAGAGGUCCUGACAGCGACUUGGCAGCCACACUGACUGGUCUUAAAUAUGUUUAGUCAAUAACUAAAAUGAAACUUAGGUUUUAAACUUAACUUCUGAAACCAAUUAGGAAAAAAAAAAAAAAAAAAAACUCUGUCAGCCAGAAAUAAAACAUAAUUUAAGGGCACCAGUGCAGUUUUCCUUUGGAAAAUGAAAUCUUGUGUAUUUAAGAAUCAAUAAAUGGAUUAAAGGGCAUAAAUAUCUGCAGAUUAUUUGUAAUGGCUCAUAAUAUACAUUUCUCUAAAACGUUUUAAUGCGUAAAAUUGAGAUUCUUAACUAUAAGACACUUACAGACCCCCAGAAACUGUGAGUCUCCGUCUAGUUUCUCCAGUUUAACGUCUGCAGACGUCAGAAAAUGCCUCCUCCGGUAGGAAGGUGUGCUAACUUAUGCAACGAGGUUCAAGCGGAUUUGUUUAUGUUCAAGUUCAAUCAUACAGGCUGCGUCACAUUAAAAGUGUAAAAGCCUAUAAAAAUAUAUAUAUAUAUAUAUAUUUUUUAUCAAAACAACAUGAACUUUAUCAGCAGUGUGUGAACUUAAGGUUCACACAGGAGUCUGCAUUCAUGCUGAUCAUUCUGCUCAUUCCUAAUACAGGAUAUUCAUGCUGGAAUUAUGGGUAAAAAAAAAAUAAAAAUAAGAUGGGACUUUGUAACAGUGACCCAGCUUUGCAGCCCAGUAUCCCAGUCUGCAUCGUUUUCUGCUGAUGAAUUCAGACGUAGGUCGAUUCUGAAGCGUCACUGAAAAAGUUUUAGCUCUGCUCACGCGGCUUUCUGCUUCCCCCCUCCCCUUCCUUCCCCCCCGUGUGUUUUUGGUGCAGGUGGAGUCACAGUAUUAAGAUAAACGAGUAUUGAAGACCAGCACUGACCAAAUGAUAAUGAAUGAAAGGUCCAAAGAGUUCAGCUCACCGCUGCGUCUCGUCGUUACAUGCCUGGAAACGGAUUAGCCUUUAGCUGGGCUCAGGGUCCAGGCUGGCUGGACAAACAGUGUUUUCCCUGAUUUGACUGAACGGUCGAUGAUAUUCAGAUUCUUGCUCAGUGUUUUGAGACGCAUUUUAAGCCAUAAAGGACGAUGUAAGGUGAAGGCGGGGUCAUCAUGCUGGACGGCUGGGGCAUUUUGUUGCAUUUGCACUCGAUUGUUUCCCAAAGCUCCUUUUGUGUUGCAUGUACUCUUCCUCCAGUGUGUUUAGUUUUUUUAAUGUGUGUGUGUGUGUGUGUGUGUGUGGGUGUGUGUGUGUGUGUGUGUGCAUGUGCAUGAAACGUGCGGGGGUGGGUGUCUGCAUGCCUGUGUGAAGCCUGUUUACGAAGGUGGUGAGGCUGCCAUUUUUUAUUGUGCAAGAGAUCACACGUCUCCCAGUCCCUCACACACACACACACACACACACACACGCACGCACAAAAACAAAGUCUUAAAUGUCUGAGUUUGAAACUAGAGAUGCAUCGAGAGGAUGAGAUUGGAUCUAUUUUUUCCUUGAUUGGCUCAGAUCGGAAAUCAAUAAAUGAAAUAGAGAAGAAAAAAAAACAUUUUUUUAAAUUCUCUACAAUAAAAAAAAACACAUUAAAACUGAUAAAUACCUCCAUACCCUAAAUUCAAAAACUACCAAUGCACAAAGUCAACAAGAGAGUAGAAUAAACACAAAUUUCCCCUCGAUUGGCUCUGAUCUUUGAUAAGUGAAGUACUUUCCUUUGCCCAAUAAAUGAAACAAAGCUAAAGUCUGUGAAUGCAUCAAGAGAAUGAACUUCUAUGCACAUUUUUUCAAUGUUAUUAAAAGAUCCAGUUUAAAUAGUAGUGUUAAGUAAUACUUAAACUACUACUGCUUUAAAGUUUAAGUAUUAUUUCCUUUGUUUUCUAUUGGGUUGCUAGCAGCUACCACUGACAAAAACAAAAGACAAAAUAACAGAUAUUUUAUCUUUGAGUCACCAGGUUCCAGAAAAAGUCUGGUCUUUUUAAAACCAAAGGCAUCUUCGCUUUAGCAGAGUAUGACGCCAAAUAAUCAGCUCACCUGAGUAAUGCUGCAGCUGAUCACCUGAGAUUACAGAUGCUGCUCUAGGAUCUGUGCAGGGAAACAAACCUUACCCUAAUGAGUGUUCUGCACAGGCCUUUCCUCGGCUGCUCCCAUUUUAUUCCUCCCUCUUCCCCCUCCUGCUGUUCCCUCACCCCGCCUCCCUCUCCGAACAAGUUUGGCACUCGGAGACAGGUCGACAGCGGCACUGGUGUGUUACUGUCCCCAUGGCAACCACCUCCUAGCCCCCCCGCCUUCUCUCACCAGCUCACUUCUCUAAAGCACACGCAUGUGGGUAAACACACACGCGCACAUGCACACACACACACAGAGAGAUCUCCUGUGCCAUGCAGUCCCAGGCCAGAGUGGGGCUUGUUUGUUCCACACACCCCUCAGAGUGGUAUUUGGAGAGUCCCUGCCCUGCUCCUAUUUCAGUGCAGCUUCCCGCACCGAGUGUUCCCGUCUCUCCAAUAGGUGUGGCUGCCGUCUCCAUUGGCCGGAGCCGACGGCGUCUCUUCCUGUCAGGGUUGUGUCCAGACAUCUGCCAUCCUGCCCCUGUGCCCCCCCGCCCCCUCUCUCCCCCACAGCACUCUGUGGUCCUGCAGGGGCCUCGGUCACACAGGGUUGCUAUGUUCUACGCUGCAAGAGCUACGCCAGAUGCUAUCUUACUCAUUCAGGGGAGGAGGGCCCUAAAAACGGCCUCAAACCCCAAGUGUGUUCCAACCAAUUAUCAAGACUGCACUAACGCGGCGGCAUACACCCGGUUCCACCUUCCAGUGUCUGUCUCUACGUCCUCCGCCAUGUUUUUCUUUGUCUUAGUACAAGAUAAAAGUGCUUGUUUCAGCUACUGUCUCCCACCAUAAACCAGCACCUUCCAGCUAACCUCCAGCUGUCAAUCACGCUCGCAUCAUGUGUGCAUCUCGACUUGUGUCUUCCACAACAAUCGGGAAACCGCAAUUACAGCGUUCCUACAUCGUCCUUCCUUCCUUCCCUCGGAUCCCUGAGUGUCAAUGUGGGCUGCUCCUCGGGUCAGGGAGAGGAUGGGCUGCGUGGGCUGCACCGCUGUGGCUGCUGCCGCUGCCGCUGCAUGGAUUUAAACUGGACUGCUGAGAGGGGAGGGAGAGAAACAUGGCGGUUGCUCUUUGUAGUCCAACCUAAAAUGGCCGACAUCACAGGCUGUUCCCCAGUCCAGCAGACUGAAGAGAUUGCGAUGAUCCAAACCAGUCGGAUACAGGCCCUGUCGGGUUUUUCUUGGUCAUAACUGGUAAGAAGUUAAUUAUAAAUCACAUGGUUGGAUACAGGAAAGACAAAGCGACUCAACUCGCCUGAUGCAGUCAGAACAUUUCUCAUGUUAACCGAUUCAUUAGAAGAGUUAUUAGCUAAAUAAAUCUGGAGCUACUCAGGCAAAAAUAAAGCAGCCUGUAGAGCAAAGUGGCCAUAGCGAGGGCGGAAGCAAUUAAUCGGAUAAAUUUAUCAAUAAAUUAUUAUUUCAAUAAUCGACUAAUCGUUCCCUGGAGCAUACAUAAAAAAGGCUAUCUGCUGACAAAAACAACACACUUAGAGCAGUAGUUAAGCCAAAAUUAUCCAAAGAAUGUCUUCAUUUCACAGUCAAGAUUAAAAAAAAGAAACAAAUUUUGCUAAGUGCCUUUUACUACUGAAUUUUUAAUUGGUUAAUUCAAAACAACAGUAAACAGAUCAGCCCUAUGCUGUGUUGACAUUGAGUCAAGCAGAAAGGGUUGAGCUUUUCACAUGUUGAUGUUAAAAGUAUUUUCAGCUGCAAAUGGAUCCUUUGCUACAAA